AGUGAACGCUGGCGGCAGGCCUAACACAUGCAAGUCGAACGGCAGCACAGUAAGAGCUUGCUCUUACGGGUGGCGAGUGGCGGACGGGUGAGGAAUACAUCGGAAUCUACUUUUUCGUGGGGGAUAACGUAGGGAAACUUAUGCUAAUACCGCAUACGACCUACGGGUGAAAGCAGGGGAUCUUCGGACCUUGCGCGAUUGAAUGAGCCGAUGUCGGAUUAGCUAGUUGGCGGGGUAAAGGCCCACCAAGGCGACGAUCCGUAGCUGGUCUGAGAGGAUGAUCAGCCACACUGGAACUGAGACACGGUCCAGACUCCUACGGGAGGCAGCAGUGGGGAAUAUUGGACAAUGGGGGCAAGCCUGAUCCAGCCAUACCGCGUGGGUGAAGAAGGCCUUCGGGUUGUAAAGCCCUUUUGUUGGGAAAGAAAAGCAGCAGGUUAAUACCCCGCUGUUCUGACGGUACCCAAAGAAUAAGCACCGGCUAACUUCGUG
rnacentral:rRNA from 1 species